UAGGGUUGUGACAGAGAGAAGAUUGGUUGGCCAUCGACAAGAGGUUUGUGGCUUGAAGUGGUCUCCAGACAACCAGAGCCUGGCCUCUGGUGGCAACGACAAUCGCCUCCAUGUUUGGAAUCUGCAUUCGCUUUCACCUGUCCAGACUUACACUGAGCAUUUGGCAGCAGUGAAAGCUAUUGCAUGGUCCCCGCAUCAUCAUGGACUCUUGGCUAGUGGUGGAGCUACAGCUGAUCGAUAUAUUCGUUUCUGGAACACACUCACAGGCCAACCAAUGCAUUGUGUAGACACUGAAUCUCGUCUGUAAUCUUACCUGGUCAAAACAUUCCUCUGAAUUGGGAGGCAACUGCCUGUCUGGAAAUGCAUCUGACAGAAACCUGAUAAUACAGCCCACAAAUAAUGCAGAGCAAUGGACAAUAAUAAUCUAGUGUCCGAGGGAACCAAAGAGUUCUGAGAUGAGUGUGUGCCAGUGUCAUUUUGCCCACCAUAAAUCCAACAUGGACUUCCUUGAGUGUCAACCCAGGCUCCCACAUUGAGAACCUGGCAACUAACCACCAGAGCUGUGACACGACCCAAGCAGCUGUGGACUUUGUCUAAGGUCAGUUGAUGAAUACAGCCUGCCAUGAUGGAAUUUUGUUUUGGGGAAUAAAUUCAAGGUUGGCAAAUAUGACCGAGAUGUAUCUUAAUCUGUAAAUGUAAUAUUUUUAACAUCAUACAAUUUUGUUCAUUGCUGUAUAUUGUGAGAGACAAGCAAAAUUACACUUGCCAACAUAUAAUCCAUUUCAUAAAACACUUUUUGGUAGAGCCUAAAAAUGGUUAAAUUUGGACGAAGCCUAUAGUUAUUUAUCUAAUAAGUAGCUUGUUAUUUUCUUGUCUAUUUUUUAAGGAUAAGCAAUAAAAUAUCACUGAUUGUGUGAGGCAGAAAUAAAAAGCACCAUUCCUUAACUUUAUAAUUUGUAAUGGAUAUAUCAGAUACAAACUCAGAAACUAAUGUAGGCCAUGUAUUAUCACUGCGUUUGGGUGCUGCUAGUGGAUUUCAUCCAGAGGAGGUGACACAAGUGAGAAACUCUGCGAUACAUAUUACAGAAGUCGCACGUAAGCAGGCAAAUUCAUAUGUACUGAAAUGUCCUUACUCCAGUGUUUAUAAGAUAAGAAAAAUGUUAUGUCUCUGGCAACAAGAUUAUAAACUUGUAUCUUCACUGUAAAACAGAGACUAGGCUUAUACAAAUUAAACAGCUAUCUCUGUUG